rnacentral:rRNA from 1 species
GACGAACGCUGGCGGCGUGCUUAACACAUGCAAGUCGAACGGGAUCCGGGCUUUCGGGUUUGGUGAGAGUGGCAAACGGGUGAGUAACACGUGAGUAACCUGCCCCCUUCUUUGGGAUAACGUCGGGAAAUCGGCGCUAAUACUGGAUAUUCUUGCUGCAUCGCAUGGUGUGGUUUGGAAAGGGUUUCUGGUGGGGGAUGGGCUCGCGGCCUAUCAGCUUGUUGGUGGGGUGAUGGCCUACCAAGGCUUUGACGGGUAGCCGGCCUGAGAGGGUGUCCGGCCACACUGGGACUGAGACACGGCCCAGACUCCUACGGGAGGCAGCAGUAGGGAAUAUUGCACAAUGGGCGCAAGCCUGAUGCAGCGACGCCGCGUGAGGGAUGACGGCCUUCGGGUUGUAAACCUCUUUCAGUAUGGAACAAGGAUCCUUCUUUUGGGGGGUUUGAGGGUACGUGCAGAAGAAGCGCCGGCUAACUACGUG